rnacentral:rRNA from 1 species
CCUACGGGUGGCAGCAGUGAGGAAUAUUGGUCAAUGGGCGAGAGCCUGAACCAGCCAAGUAGCGUGAAGGAUGACUGCCCUAGGAGUUGUAAACUUCUUUUAUAAAGGAAUAAAACGAGGCACGUGUGCCUUUUUGUAUGUACUUUAUGAAUAAGGCUCGGCUAACUCCGUGCCAGCAGCCGCGGUAAUACGGAGGGUCCGAGCGUUAUCCGGAUUUAUUGGGUUUAAAGGGAGCGUAGAUGGGUUGUUAAGUCAGUUGUGAAAGUUUGCGGCUUAACCGUAAAAUUGCAAUUGAUACUGGUAGUCUUGAGUACAGUUGAGGUAGGCGGAAUUCGUGGUGUAGCGGUAAAAUGCUUAGAUAUCACGAAGAAUACCGAUUGCGAAGGCAGCCUACUAAACUGUGACUGACAUUGAUGCUCGAAAGUGUGGGGAUCAAACAGGAUUAGAUACCCGGGUAGUC